rnacentral:rRNA from 1 species
UGGGGAAUAUUGCCCAAUGGACGAAAGUCUGAUGCAGCAACGCCGCGUGGAGGAUGACACAUUUCGGUGCGUAAACUCCUUUUAUAUAAGAAGAUAAUGACGGUAUUAUAUGAAUAAGCACCGGCUAACUCCGUGCCAGCAGCCGCGGUAAUACGGAGGGUGCAAGCGUUACUCGGAAUCACUGGGCGUAAAGAGCGUGUAGGCGGAUUGAUAAGUUUGAAGUGAAAUCCUAUAGCUUAACUAUAGAACUGCUUUGAAAACUGUUAAUCUAGAAUGUGGGAGAGGUAGAUGGAAUUUCUGGUGUAGGGGUAAAAUCCGUAGAGAUCAGAAGGAAUACCGAUUGCGAAGGCGAUCUACUGGAACAAUAUUGACGCUGAGACGCGAAAGCGUGGGGAGCAAA